AUAAAUUAAUAGCUCGAAUCGAUGACUCUUACAACUUCACGCAGUGCGAUGGUACAAAUGGACGUAACCUCGAUCAAAUUGUGCAAAGGUGAUUUAAGACCGUUGGAAAGGUACCAGGUGUUCUGGAUCAGCGAUGUGCACUCCAUCCUCUCUGUACCGUAGUGUAUUCGACCGAGUCGAACCAAACGGAACGAGACGAAACGAGAUGAAAUGGCGGGACGAUAGAGAGAGUGAGAGGAGCGAAUGUGAGGAGAAGGAAGUCAAAGAGAGAAAAGGAGAAAAAUAUGAAAGGUACACACAGUGGCGUGUAUUAUGAACAGGCCGGAUAAUAAUAGGUGAAGUACGUGAGAUCUGGUAUAUUUUGGUACUUCGGUCUCGGGAGAACUAAAAAAACAAGGGGGCUUCGUCACGGAAAAAACUUAAGAAGGAAAGAACGUAAGGAAGGAGGACAGGAAGUACUACAAGCAUCUAUCAUCUCACACACUGCUGAGGCGUCUCGAGAAUAAAAGAUCUCUUACAUACUUUGGGGUUAGAUCCGAGAAGCUUUCUUGGGUGAAGGCGAUGAAGAAAGGCAAGAAUGAAAAUACUAGUAAG